CAUCCCUCUGCAACAAUCUUUCUAUCACACGAUUGAGUCUAAAUUUCACCCUAAUCUGUCAGGUAGUCAUUAUAUUUAUUCCUCUUAAUUUGUUAUUCCUCCCACGACGAUUAUGAGCUUUAGAUUUGCUUAAUCUUCUUUUAAAUUUUAAUCCAACUCCAUGACAUCUAUAAAAAUUUCUUUCAAUAGCAUACACUUGGUAGCUUCUCUAUUGAUACCUAUCUUCGCCCAAUAACAUCAUGUUUCCGUAAAUUGUGAUGACGAAGAUUUUUUGAUAUCCAAGUUUGAAAUUUUUAUAACCUUACCCUCAAUCGCAAACCCUAAUUUUCCUUAUUUAAGCACUCCAAACUGAUGAAGAUUUUACCAUUGUUACGCUCUAUCCUCUUAGUUAAAUCAAAACCUUUACCCAAUUGCAACCAAUAUUGUUCAAAACCACUUCGGUAGCCUUACAGCUGAGUUUCUGUAUCACCAUGUCUUCUGUUUGGCAUGGUGAUAUAUCCCAGUUAACAAACCUUCUUCAAAUUUCCUUGAAUCUGAGCAGUGGUAGACAGUUCAAUCUAGAUGAUGUUUUCCCUUCUAGAUUCCAGAACAAUCAAGAUCUCUGGACUAGCUGCUUGUUAGGUAGAUUCUCUGAACCAGUUGCUAGGAACAGCUGGAAUAUUAGAAAUGCUUUACUUUUUCAAAGUAAAAAUGGUUAGUGAGUGGGUUUAUCUGGUCAGAUUUGAAAGAGAAGAUGAGAUGCUUAGAGUACUAGCCAUUGCAACUACAGUAGUUUAUGGUGACCUAUUCUGCAUUAGAAAAUAGGAGAGGAUUGAGGAUUUGGCAACAUGGAAUCCUUCUGAAGAAAUGUUUUUCAUCACAAUCCACAACUUCACUCCAGCUCAAGUAUAUAGUAACAACCUGAGAAGAUACUUGGCUUAUAUGGGAGAAAUCACUUCAUUCUUCUACCUGACAAAAGAGCCAAUGGGAGCUAUUCCAUUACAGUUAGAGCAAGUAUUAGGUUUAAGCAAACUCUAAGAUUCAGUGUUAGGGUAGAAAAUGAGAUGUGACUUACCAAUGAUAUUAACUUUCAGUUUCUUCACUUCCCCAACAAUUUCUGUGGCUUUUGUAACAUCAUUGGUCAUAAGAUUCAAGACUGUGAACAAUUUGCUUUUGCCCAACAACAAGCUGAGGAGCAACAAGCUGCAGCUGAUGCCAUAAUAGCUGCCACGCAGCAGAUUGAUGCACAACAACAAGAACCUGUCGUGAACCAGCAAAUGGUGCAACAAGAUAUGCAGCAAGACAUGCAGUUUUCAGAAGACAGCCUAGCCAUUCAGAUUCAAUGCAAGCAGCAUCUGAGGAGAAGCAUCUGGUGCAAGCAAUACUAAUAAAGACCCAAAAUCAAAGGGUAAACAGGUUGCAAGCAAUGACAAUUAGUCAUUUUGGCCCUAAGUAAAUCUGCAGAAAACUUAUGUGAUCUGGUGUGUAGGCAAUCAUCAGAGCCUAUGGCUCCUUUUUAUUGCUUUUUUUUUACUAAUCCUGCCUGCAUUUUCCUUUUCUAGAUUUCUGCUUAUUUGUACUAGCCUUUAUUUCCUUUCCCUUGUCUGUAUAGUAGUUAAGUUGUUCCCUUUGCAAUCAUCUUUUAGUUUCAGUAUAUCUUGUUUUUUCUGUAUUCUAAUUUUAGUGCUAUCUCCUUUGUAA